CUCAGGGAAAGCACCCAUCCUUUGGGGUUUGGGGACCCUGGCUGCUCCCGGCCAACAAUCCCAUCUGUCAGCCAGCGCUUGUCCUGAAGUGGAAACUUCUCCGGAAGGCCUGAGGUGGGGCGGUACCUGGCCAACGUCCCAGGAUGGGCCUGAGCCCCUGUUGGCCCGAGGCUCCCCUGCCCUGGUUGUGACUGGAGGACUAUUCCCUGCGCAGAGGGCAGCCGUGGGCAGGCAGCUGGCUCUGUGCUUUGGAGCCCAGAAACUUAAAGAUUUCUCUUCCUUAAAGGUCUGGGUGCAGGGAACAGAAGCCGUUCGUGGCUGUGAAGGAGCCAGUUGUUUGGUUUCGGGCCCAUCCUGUUUCUGCUCAUUCAGGUCUCAGAAACAGCCAGAAAUCUCUCUUGCCAUCUUUCCGUGCCGCCACCAUGGUGCACGUGAAUGUCCUGGCCGAUGCACUCAUCAACGGUGCGGAGAAAAGAUGCGAAAGCCAGGUUCUUCUUAGACUGUGCUCAAAGCCUGGUCCGGUUUCUAAGUGUGGUGACUCAGCAUGGCGCACUGGCGAAUUUGAAAUCACUGAUGAUCACAGAGCUGGGAAGAUCGCCGUGGACCUCACUGGCAGGUCAACCAGGUGUGGAGAGAUCAGGCCGUGGACCUCACUGGCAGGUGUGGAGAGAUCAGGCCCAGAUUCAUGUGCGGCCCAAAGUCCUUGAAACCCCCAGCAGAACAAGCCGCUCCCAGCCCACCGGUUUGGUCUCACGGUAUCACAACCUCAGCCGGCAUGCUGAAGGAGCAAGGCGGCAGGCAAUACAGGAGGGACAAUCCUGGGAUUCGUUUUCUAGGGGUGUAAUGCCUAAGAGAGAAUAAAAUGCCAAAAAAGAAAA